AAAAAAUGCAUGUUAAACUUGUUGUUAAAAUGAAGUUAAUGUAAUUUCACAAACAGUAGAGUUUAACUUAAUGAGUUUUUCCAUUAACAAGAAUUUCUUAAAAUAAUAAUGUAUGGAUAUCAUUUGGAAAGUGACAUGAAAUGUUGUUAAAAAGUGAUGCAUACAAGUGUUUCAGAAGUCUGUCUAGGAAUAGAACAACAACUGAAGCUGACAAGUUGAUGGAAGAUACUGCAGAGUUUGGCAGGGAAAUAACCCAAGACAGCAAAGCGGCUCUUUUGGCGCAUUUACCAAGAGGACUAACAUGGCCACAAAUUCAUGAGAUCAUGCAGGAGCCGUACAGUAUAACAGCAGUACAAGUUCUAUAAAAGAUCCACGACCUACUGAAGCCCAGCUAAUUAACAAAAAAGUUUUUAAAAACUGUAAUUUUAUCCCACCUGGGUACUUAUAAUUUACUAACUGUCACUUGGAAAGUAAUACAUGUACAUGCAUUCAUGUUCUGAAUUUCUUUGAACAAUAAAAUUAUAUAAAAGUAUUUUAAUGAAAUUGAGCACCUAAAUUGCAUUAAAGUGAAAGUAGCUGAGAAAAAUAGUAUCCUUAAUUGUUCUCAUGGGCAGCUACAUAUAUUGUGACAAACAUGAAGUAGCUAAAAUAACUUAAAUUUUUCAUUUUGUUUCUUGUAUAUCGUUUGUACAGGGUUCGUGAAUUGUUACUGUAUAUUACUUGACUUGCUUGUAUUUUGUUACUUUGAAUACAUGUUGUUAAGGUUGCAUUAUACUUUUUAACUUUUAAAGUAGCGCCUGUUCUGUUAUGUAAGGGCCUGAUUUAUGAUAAUGGACCUAGAGGCUUUGUAAGCAUGUAUUAAACAACACUUGUUUGAUCUGAAUAAUUUGUUAAAUAAAUGUAACACAAUUUGUAAUCUGAUGUUAUAUUUUGAUGAAUUGUGAACAAAAUAAUACAUCGAAGAAACUAA